CUACGUGCCAGCAGCCGCGGUAAUACGGAGGGUGCGAGCGUUAAUCGGAAUAACUGGGCGUAAAGGGCACGCAGGCGGUGACUUAAGUGAGGUGUGAAAGCCCCGGGCUUAACCUGGGAAUUGCAUUUCAUACUGGGUCGCUAGAGUACUUUAGGGAGGGGUAGAAUUCCACGUGUAGCGGUGAAAUGCGUAGAGAUGUGGAGGAAUACCGAAGGCGAAGGCAGCCCCUUGGGAAUGUACUGACGCUCAUGUGCGAAAGCGUGGGGAGCAAACAGGAUUAGAUACCCUGGUAGUCCACGCUGUAAACGAUGUCGAUUUGGGGGUUGAGCUUUGAGCUUGGCGCCCGUAGCUAACGUGAUAAAUCGACCGCCUGGGGAGUACGGCCGCAAGGUUAAAACUCAAAUGAAUUGACGGGGGCCCGCACAAGCGGUGGAGCAUGUGGUUUAAUUCGAUGCAACUCGAAGAACCUUACCUACUCUUGACAUCCAGAGAACAUUC
rnacentral:rRNA from 1 species